GUUAAUUGGAGGGAGCUUCCUUCAGUCCACUCAUGGGGGAAUGAAGGGUCAGGAUUAGCUGCCGACUCAUUCAUUCAAACGCAGUAGAGAUUUAUUGGAGAUGAGAACUACUGUGAAUGUGUGAAUGAUGCGGGAGACUAAUUUCGCCCUUCUUUUCUCUUUGCUUGGACUGAAGGGAGCUCCCUCUCCCUAUCCC
rfam:Ipomoea nil DNA, scaffold: scaffold0302, cultivar: Tokyo-kokei standard.